GAUGAACGCUGGCUACAGGCUUAACACAUGCAAGUCGAGGGGAAACGCCGGGGAAGCUUGCUUCCCCGGGCGUCGACCGGCGCACGGGUGAGUAACGCGUAUCCAACCUGCCUCUGACUGAGGGAUAACCCGUCGAAAGUCGGCCUAAUACCUCAUGGCAUCGUCUGCGGGCAUCCAACGACGAUUAAAGAUUUCAUCGGUCAGGGAUGGGGAUGCGUCUGAUUAGCUAGUUGGCGGGGUAACGGCCCACCAAGGAGACGAUCAGUAGGGGUUCGGAGGGGAAGGUCCCCCACAUUGGAACUGAGACACGGUCCAAACUGCUACGGGAGGCAGCAGUGAGGAAUAUUGGUGAAUGGGCGAGAGCCUGAACCAGCCAAGUAGCGUGCAGGAUGACGGCGCUAUGGGUGGUAAACUGCUUUUAUGCGGGGAUAAAGUGAGGGACGUGUCCUUCAUUGCAGGUACCGCAUGAAUAAGGACCGGCUAAUUCCGUG
rnacentral:rRNA from 1 species